rnacentral:rRNA from 1 species
AUGAAGUUUCAACGCUAUGCUUCAAUAUCCAUUCUUUGCUGUCAUAGUCCUCGAGAACAUGAACUGCUAGUCGAACCACACGGCCAUCUUCAUCUUGAUGAAAAUUGGCAUAAUGCAGGCGACCCUGUGACUGCUGAAUAUGACCGCCAUCUAGAAUACGGCCUGGUCGAAGCCCAUACGAGCGGCGCCCACCUCGCCCGCCUGGCCGGAGUCCGGCAAGACGACCCACUUCUCCGUGGCGGGGUUGCACACGACGUAACGGGACUCGUCGCCACGGGCAGAGACGUGGUACCAGCGGCAGAGGAGGAGGCCGUUGCAGCAGUCCUGGAGGUCGACGCGCCGGUGGCUGGGGAGGAACGCCAAAGAGGUGCGGACCAGAGGGCGGCGGCUGCCCCCGACGCUGGUGAACUGGACAGGUGA